rnacentral:sRNA from 1 species
UCGAUCUGCUGCGGGCUGAUCCAGUGAAUAUGGGCAUCGAUGGCGCCGGCGGUGACGAUCCGGCCCUCACCGGCGAUUGCCUCGGUUCCCGGCCCGAUCACAAUAUCCACGCCGGGCUGGAUAUCGGGGUUGCCAGCCUUGCCGAUUCCGACAAUCCGGCCGUCGCGCACACCGAUAUCGGCCUUCACGAUCCCCCAAUGAUCCACAAUCAGUGCAUUGGUGAUGACCGUAUCGACGGCACCCUGGGCCCGGGUCGCCUGGGACUGCCCCAUACCGUCGCG